rnacentral:misc_RNA from 1 species
GAAAUGCGAUAAGUAAUGUGAAUUGCAGAAUUCAGUGAAUCAUCGAAUCUUUGAACGCACAUUGCGCCCGCCAGUAUUCUGGCGGGCAUGCCUGUUCGAGCGUCAUUACAACCCUCAGGCCCCCGGGCCUGGCGUUGGGGAUCGGCGGAAGCCCCCUGCGGGCACAACGCCGUCCCCCAAAUACAGUGGCGGUCCCGCCGCAGCUUCCAUUGCGUAGUAGCUAACACCUCGCAACUGGAGAGCGGCGCGGCCACGCCGUAAAACACCCAACUUCUGAAUGUUGACCUCGGAUCAGGUAGGAAUACCCGCUGAACUUAAGC